AUACAUGCAAAUCUGCAAUGAUGAAGAAUGAUGAAUAUAGAUAUGCCACCAGAACAGUAAAAUUUAAUCUAAUUCACUGUUAGGACAGUGGAGUAGAAAAUGAAAAACUGAUGCAGUGCUUUCGAAGUAUUGCUGUUUCUAUGGAACAAUUAUGGUGCUAUUCAUCGUCCAUGAAUAUCAUUUUUAGUCAUCAUCCAUUCACUCAGUGAAUGAAUAAAUGACAGGUUGUCUGUGUGUGUUUGUGCAGGUUGAGCUCAGUGUGGAGAAAAGCUCUUUUCAUCUGCUGGUUGAUGGGAUCAGAGUGACUGACGGUAACUUAUCCAAUGACGAAGGUUCAGCUUUAGACCUGCUCAACCCCGUUUAUCUGGGAGGUGAUCCAACAAGCAGAGCCACUAAAGGACACAAUAUUCCCAUGAAGAGUCUAAUCAGCUGUGUUCGGGAUUUCAGAAUGAAUGAUGUGGUUGUCGGUGAACCUGAGGCCAGUAACAAAAUCUUACCCUGCUAAUAAAAUGCUUCGAAUGAGUCAUUAGUUGUAAAGAAAAAAAAAAAAAAAAAAAAAAAAGCAAUUAUAGCCUCAUUUGUAAAAUCCUAGAAAUGUAACUAUGAAUGAGAGAAUCUCCGCGUCUGAUUUUUUUGCUUUCCCUGAGAAUCAUUCACAUUUUGGCAGACGUGGUUGUUGUAAAUGUGUAGUAGAUGACUAUAAAUGGAUAGCUUGCUAUAUUGCUGUUGCUAUAAAUUGAGGGUAAAUCACUAUAUAUCAGUAAUAGAUGACUAUAAAUUAGUAAUGCAUUAAAUGUUUUUUACUCAGUAAUUAAUUAAUUUUGAGUACUAUAAAUAUGUAAUUAAUUCAAUUUCUGUAAAUGACUAAGAGAUAGCUACUAUUAUGUAAUUCAUUACUAUUAAUGCAUGAUAAAUUACUAUAUAUCAGUUAUAGAUCACUUUACAUAAAUAAUAAAAUACUGUAAUCGUGCUAUGUAUCACUACAAAGGAGUAACAGAGAGACUAAAUGUGUACAAGGCUAAUUUAGAUGAGUUAUGGAUUACUCUAAAAGUAUAAUAAAACAUUAAAUAUUUUAAUUCAGUAAAUUCAUCAAAAAAUAUGGUAGACAACUUAACAUGAGUAAUAGAUUACUUUGGAAGUAACAGAUAAAUGAGCAUUUCAUUAAUCAGCUAUACUCACUUUAUCCUGCAGAGGGUUGUGCUGGGCUGAAGUUUAUCCAGUUGACUCCGGAAGAGAAGCAAGUUACACCCUGGACAGGUCGAAAUGAGAAAUAUAAUACAAUUAAAAAGUGAUAAAUUAUCUUUUAAAAAGUAA